rnacentral:snRNA from 1 species
AUCGCUUCUCGGCCUUUUGGCUAAGAUCAAGUGUAGUAGCUGUUCUUAUCAGUUUAAUAUCUGAUACGCCCCCGAUUUGGGGCAACGUAUUAAACGCAUUUUUAGAACAGGGAGCCGAAUAAGGGGCUCGCUCCGUUCGCUCCACGCAUCGACCCGGUAUUGCAGCGCCUCCGGGAACGGUGCCCCCUUU